rnacentral:misc_RNA from 1 species
GAACGCACAUUGCGCCCGCCGGUAUUCCGGCGGGCAUGCCUGUUCGAGCGUCAUUUCACCACUCAAGCCCAGCUUGGUGUUGGGGCACCCGGCCGCCCAGCGGACCGGGGCCCCCAAGUCCAUCGGCGGGCUCGUCGGGACCCUGAACGCAGUAACACGCGGUAAAACGCGCCCUCGUUCGGAGGCUCCAGGCGGGUUCUUGCCGCUAAACCCCCUAAUUCUCCUUAGGUUGACCUCGGAUCAGGUAGGAAUACCCGCUGAACUUAAG